rnacentral:rRNA from 1 species
GACGAACGCUGGCGGCGUGCCUAAUACAUGCAAGUAGAACGCACAGGAUGCACCGUAGUUUACUACACCGUAUUCUGUGAGUUGCGAACGGGUGAGUAACGCGUAGGUAACCUGCCUGGUAGCGGGGGAUAACUAUUGGAAACGAUAGCUAAUACCGCAUAAGAACAUUUACUGCAUGGUAGAUGUUUAAAAGGUGCAAGAGCAUCACUACCAGAUGGACCUGCGUUGUAUUAGCUAGUUGGUGAGGUAACGGCUCACCAAGGCAACGAUACAUAGCCGACCUGAGAGGGUGAUCGGCCACACUGGGACUGAGACACGGCCCAGACUCCUACGGGAGGCAGCAGUAGGGAAUCUUCGGCAAUGGGGGGAACCCUGACCGAGCAACGCCGCGUGAGUGAAGAAGGUUUUCGGAUCGUAAAGCUCUGUUGUUAAGGAAGAACGUGUGUGAGAGUGGAAAGUUCACACAAUGACG